rnacentral:lncRNA from 1 species
ACAGGGGUUCCUCAACGCCCAGCUGCUUUUCCUUACACUAAGUAAUAGGUAUAAGAUCAAAGUAAUAGGUAUAAGAGCCGAGCAACUACUAACGGACAAUUUCACUUAACCUAGAAACUCACUAACACACUUGGGUUUUGUUUGGCGAACUCAGUCAGGACAACCUCCGCUGCCCUUGCAUCUAGUUAACUUGUUUCUUGUGCCGAGUCAAACUCAUCAUUAAUUAUAUCUCGCGCAAUAAAGUUAGAUCAAAAAGAAAGGGAAGUCGGCUUGUUUACUAAGAUCUAUAUUCUAUCAAUUCCACACUUCAAUCUCGAAUCGAAUACCCUGUUCCUGUGAGAGUUAGUGUUGAAGACCUGUCCAUGGUUAGUGAGUUACCUGAGUUUGACCUAUGAGUUUGACCUAAUGGUUAGUGAGUUACCUGAGUUUAACCUAUAAGUUUGACCUAUAAGUAGUGAGGGUAUAGUUCGGUAUGGCGCCUAUAGAUAACCUGUCCUGUCCGAGAAACUAGUAGUUGCGGUAAGUAAGUGAGUGGAAGUCCUCUUGAGAGCUUUCCCGCUCCCUUAUGAUUAGUAUUAGUCUCGAUAUCCCUUACCAAGUAGUAAACAAGGAAUUUGACUAGCUUGACCUAGACCACUCCUUUGACUUGUGUCUGCUUGUCGGCUUGUCGGACAGGAAUCUCUGAGUUUUGUUAGCGCAGAGAGGAAAGGAAACCCAGAAAAGAUGGGAAUUGAGUUGACCGAGCACAAGGUAUACCUUUGUUCGGUGUCAGUGAGCUUUACCUUCCUUAUAGUACUGAAGCUGAAUAAUGGAAUGGAAUUAGUUGACUCCGGAGAGGUCGGGGAAGACAAUAAGAAUAGACAGGACCGGGACCAGGACUUAACACCGUAAGAAUAUAGAAACAAAGAAGAAACAAAGAGAUCUUUUAGUUCCAUUGACUCAGUACUGACUAAGUAGAGGAAAGCCUACUAGAUGCUAUAUUAUCCUU